rnacentral:rRNA from 1 species
UACGUAGGUCCCGAGCGUUAUCCGGAUUUAUUGGGCGUAAAGCGAGCGCAGGCGGUUAGAUAAGUCUGAAGUUAAAGGCUGUGGCUUAACCAUAGUACGCUUUGGAAACUGUUUAACUUGAGUGCAGAAGGGGAGAGUGGAAUUCCAUGUGUAGCGGUGAGAUGCGUAGAUAUAUGGAGGAACACCGGUGGCGAAAGCGGCUCUCUGGUCUGUAACUGACGCUGAGGCUCGAAAGCGUGGGGAGCAAACAGGAUUAGAUAC